UACUCAUAAUUUAAAAAAUAUCUACCUUGGAUGUAGAAAAAAGAACAAUAAAAGUA
rnacentral:tRNA from 1 species